UCCGGGGUAUGGAGCCUCAAAUAGUUCCAAACAACCAUUUUACGGCGUAGGAGAUCAUUCGUUUCCAUUGCUGGCCGUCGAGUAACUUCUGAGGUAAAUUGAUUAAAUAGCUACCUCUUUCGAAUUGUCAACUGUCUAUAUUGUAUCAGAGGCCCUUUAUGAUGCAUAUACUGAUAUUUAUUUGUAAAUGCACAGCGUAAUUAUAUAUAUAUUUAUCUUGGUAGACGACCGUUUGCCUGCUAGUUUGUUAGCUCAACUUCGCCAUCUGUGAAGGUAUCUCCAGGGGUAAAUUGAUUAAAUAGCUACCUCUUUUGAAUUGUCAACUGUCUAUUGUAUUAGAGGUCCUUUUAUGAUGCAUACUGAUAUUUAUUUGAAUAUGCACGGCGUAAUUAUAUAUAUAUUUGUCUUGGUAGACGACCGAUUGCCUGCUAGUUUGUGAGCUCGACUUCACCAUGUGAAGGUAUCUACACCAACAAUUACGAAGUUCAGUAGUGAAUCUAACUUUUAUUUAGUUAGUUAUUUAUGUUGGAUUACUAUGAUCAUUUAGGUUGAUUUAAGGACGGGUUUUAUGAUGCGAUAGCUAGUAGAAAUAACAGUGUUUGUUUAAUUAUAUCCUGGAAAGGGUGAUGUUCAGCACAUUAAGCCCUACAGAUGCCGCCGCUUCAACAAUGCUGAUUAUGAUGGGCGGUGAAUUUAAACUUUGCCUUAUUAGGUCCUCCAUAGUCGCCCCAUCAGUCCCUGGCAGUCUGGUCCCUGGAGCAGCUGCCCCUGGAUCACCUGCCCCUGGAUCACCUGCCCCUGAAUCACCUGCACCUGAAUCACCUGCCCCUGGCAAAGUGGCCCACUUGAUUGCUCUCGCUGUCUCCUGUCAUGUCCUUUUCAUCGCUCUUGAAAUCCACCUCAAUUUCUCCCUCAAUCUCUGUAAUAAUUACAAGGUAAUGUUGCUGUUAUAUGUAUUUUGCCUUUGCAUGUGCAACUACUGUCACCUCCAAUGUAAGAAAAUGUAUUAAAGCGAAACAUUUCUGUAAUGUGAAUUAAAUCAUCUGCCACAAUAAGAAACCAAUACAAUUUAUAAAUGGAUCUUCCGGCAAUUGUUAAUUGGGUAGAAAUGUGUCGAUUAUCCACAUUGUGUGCAAAUCCUCAGAUAAUCCCUGACCUCUGGUUGUUUCUUAAACUGAAUGUACAAAUAUGAAUUAUGCAAUCUCAUUAGGAGUGUAGUCUAUCCUUGAAUUACAUGAAAUGGGGAAUAUUGUUAGCUGCAUGGAUCAUACCGAAGUUUAAUUUGGUGAAAUAUGUGUGGUCCGUUGCACUUGGUUCUGGAGGCACCCUCACAGAAGGGGGUUUCCUCCUCUUCGGCUUAGGGCGAUGAAUGAAAACUGUUGGUACUGCAUCGGGCCUCAGCUUCAACAUCCCUUCUCUUUUUGUGGCAGUGAAUUAGUUCAAAGUUUACCUGUAGGUAGGCUUGUAAGAUCAGUUUCCAUUGCACUUCAAAUAUCAUUGAAAAGUCAUAAUUCUCUACACUUAGAAUUAUUAUGCCCUUUGAAAUGCUAUCAAGUGUUGUGAACAUUACUUACAUUACAUAGUUUUUGACUGUUGCUGACCCCUGUCACUUGUAAGUUUUGACGGCUGACCAUUGCCAUCCAUUUCUUCCUGCGCUCUUGGUCCUUGGGGAAGCCAUACAUGUGGUAACCCUUCUCGGACCGAUUGGAGCAUCCAAACGCUGCACAGCCAACCAUGGUAUGACCAUUGAUCUAAACCAAUUUAGAAUUUGCUCAGGGCUAUUAUAAGUAUUGUAAUGGCAUAAAGUAUAGUAUAUUUGCAACGUUAUAUGUUAAUGGUUUGCCCUAAGUAUAUAGUGUUCCCUGCUGUGUCCAUUGUUGAAUCUGUUCACACAAUCGCACUCACUUGUUCGCGUCACACUAAUUGUUUAAUAAAAAAAAUACUAUUUCAUUCA